CAUAGCAACACCAUAGCAACGAGGGACGCGCCGUCCUGCCGACCCCUACCUCGUGACGUAACUUCCAGGAAGCCUCGCCACCACUCUGAACACGGAAAUAUAGCACCACGCUAUCCUCGCCAUAUAUUGCAAACAUUUUCUGGGUUUUACUCGCGGGAUUCGUCAUGCCAUCUCGAUGUGUAGCGAUAUGAAUUACUCACAGGAAGACUCGAGACUCUAGGAGUGGUCAAAAAAAAAACUUCUCCUGCAAAGCCACGACAGCUUUGAAAACCUACAACAAUGCAACCUUGGUUUUCCAAAGACGAAGCCAAACAUAAAAAAUUAAGUGGCGGAAACCCUCAACACGAUGAAAAAAG